rnacentral:rRNA from 1 species
CGACGGGUGAGUAAUGUCUGGGAAACUGCCCGAUGGAGGGGGAUAACACUGGAAACGGUAGCUAAUACCGCAUAACGUCGCAAGACCAAAGAGGGGAACCUUAGGGCCUCUUGCCAUCGGAUGUGCCCAGAUGGGAUUAGCUAGUAGGUGGGGUAACGGCUCACCUAGGCGACGAUCCCUAGCUGGUCUGAGAGGAUGACCAGCCACACUGGAACUGAGACACGGUCCAG